rnacentral:rRNA from 1 species
UACGGAGGAUCCAAGCGUUAUCCGGAAUCAUUGGGUUUAAAGAGUCCGUAGGCGGUUUAGUAAGUCAGUGGUGAAAGCCCAUCGCUCAACGGUGGAACGGCCAUUGAUACUGCUAGACUUGAAUUAUUAGGAAGUAACUAGAAAUAUGUAGUGUAGCGGUGAAAUGCUUAGAGAUUACAUGGAAUACCAAUUGCGAAGGCAGGUUACUACUAAUGGAUUGACGCUGAUGGACGAAAGCGUGGGUAGCGAACAGG